AACGAACGCUGGCGGCAUGCCUAACACAUGCAAGUCGAACGAAGCCUUCGGGCUUAGUGGCGCACGGGUGCGUAACGUGUGGGAAUCUGCCCCUUGCUUCGGAAUAACAGUUAGAAAUGACUGCUAAUACCGGAUGAAGUCUUCGGACCAAAGAUUUAUCGGCAAGGGAUGAGCCCGCGUAGGAUUAGGUAGUUGGUGGGGUAAAGGCCUACCAAGCCGACGAUCCUUAGCUGGUCUGAGAGGAUGAUCAGCCACACUGGGACUGAGACACGGCCCAGACUCCUACGGGAGGCAGCAGUGGGGAAUAUUGGACAAUGGACGCAAGUCUGAUCCAGCAAUGCCGCGUGAGUGAUGAAGGCCUUAGGGUUGUAAAGCUCUUUUACCAGGGAUGAUAAUGACAGUACCUGGAGAAUAAGCUCCGGCUAACUCCGUG
rnacentral:rRNA from 1 species